rnacentral:rRNA from 1 species
AUUGACCGCUGGCGGCAGGCCUAACACAUGCAAGUCGAGCGAGCGGCGGACGGGUGAGUAAUGUCUGGGAACCUGCCUGAUGGAGGGGGAUAACUACUGGAAACGGUAGCUAAUACCGCAUACCAUCCGAUUUGCCCAGAUGGGAUUAGCUAGUAGGUGGGUUAAUGGCUCACCUAGGCGACGAUCCCUAGCUGGUCUGAGAGGAUGACCAGCCAUACUGGAACUGAGAACCGGUCCAUACUCCUAAGGGAGGCAGCAGUGGGGAAUAUUGCACAAUGGGCGCAAGCCUGAGGCAGCCAUGCCGCGUGUGUGAAGAAGGCCUUCGGGUUGUAAAGCACUUGCAGCGGGGAGGCGGUACCCGCAGAAGAAGCACCGGCUAACUCCGUGCCAGCAGCCGCGGUAAUUC